UACGGAGGGGACUAGCGUUGUUCGGAAUUACUGGGCGUAAAGCGCGUGUAGGCGGCUAAGUAAGUCGGGCGUGAAAUCCCACGGCUCAACCGUGGAAGUGCACUCGAAACUGCAUAGCUAGAGUCCUGGAGAGGAAGGUGGAAUGCUUGGUGUAGAGGUGAAAUUCGUAGAUAUCAAGCGGAACACCGGUGGCGAAGGCGGCCUUCUGGACAGUGACUGACGCUGAGACGCGAAAGCGUGGGGAGCAAACAGG
rnacentral:rRNA from 1 species